UACGUAGGGAGCAAGCGUUGUCCGGAAUCAUUGGGCGUAAAGCGCGCGCAGGUGGCUUCGUAAGUCCGUUGUGAAAGUCAAAGGCUCAACCUUUGAAAGCCGAUGGAUACUGCGGAGCUAGAGUACGGAAGAGGCGAGUGGAAUUCCUGGUGUAGCGGUGGAAUGCGCAGAUAUCAGGAGGAACACCGGUGGCGAAGGCGGGUCUCUGGGCCGAUACUGACGCUGAGGAGCGAAAGCGUGGGGAGCGAACAGG
rnacentral:rRNA from 1 species